rfam:Anaerolineaceae bacterium 4572_78 ex4572_78_scaffold_728, whole genome shotgun sequence.
GUCAACAACCCCCCACUAGAAGUGGGGGGGCUUGCGGGAGUAAUCUCGCAAGCCUCAAGUUGACCAGACUCAGCACUUUUUAAGUGCUACGUUACCGUAGAAAGCUACAACAGGUACGUCAGGGUGCUUCUCCAGCCUUGCCCGCUACGGUCAGUGAUUAAACAGGUUUAAAGGGGUUAAGCCAGUGUUGCUGACAUUCAAACCUACGGACCAACAUUGUCGAGGAGAUAAAAAC